ACGCACGCUGGCGGCGUGCUUAACACAUGCAAGUCGAACGGAAAGGCCCUGCUUUUGUGGGGUGCUCGAGUGGCGAACGGGUGAGUAACACGUGAGUAACCUGCCCUUGACUUUGGGAUAACUUCAGGAAACUGGGGCUAAUACCGGAUAGGAGCUCCUGCUGCAUGGUGGGGGUUGGAAAGUUUCGGCGGUUGGGGAUGGACUCGCGGCUUAUCGGCUUGUUGGUGGGGUAGUGGCUUACCAAGGCUUUGACGGGUAGCCGGCCUGAGAGGGUGACCGGCCACAUUGGGACUGAGAUACGGCCCAGACUCCUACGGGAGGCAGCAGUGGGGAAUAUUGCACAAUGGGCGGAAGCCUGAUGCAGCAACGCCGCGUGCGGGAUGACGGCCUUCGGGUUGUAAACCGCUUUCGCCUGUGACGAGGCGUGAGUGACGGUAAUGGGUAAAGAAGCACCGGCUAACUACGUG
rnacentral:rRNA from 1 species